GAUGAACGUUGGCGGCGUGCCUAAUACAUGCAAGUCGAGCGAACGGACGAGAAGCUUGCUUCUCUGAUGUUAGCGGCGGACGGGUGAGUAACACGUGGAUAACCUACCUAUAAGACUGGGAUAACUUCGGGAAACCGGAGCUAAUACCGGAUAAUAUUUUGAACCGCAUGGUUCAAAAGUGAAAGACGGUCUUGCUGUCACUUAUAGAUGGAUCCGCGCUGCAUUAGCUAGUUGGUAAGGUAACGGCUUACCAAGGCAACGAUGCAUAGCCGACCUGAGAGGGUGAUCGGCCACACUGGAACUGAGACACGGUCCAGACUCCUACGGGAGGCAGCAGUAGGGAAUCUUCCGCAAUGGGCGAAAGCCUGACGGAGCAACGCCGCGUGAGUGAUGAAGGUCUUCGGAUCGUAAAACUCUGUUAUUAGGGAAGAACAUAUGUGUAAGUAACUGUGCACAUCUUGACGGUACCUAAUCAGAAAGCCACGGCUAACUACGUGCCAGCAGCCGCGGUAAUACGUAGGUGGCAAGCGUUAUCCGGAAUUAUUGGGCGUAAAGCGCGCGUAGGCGGUUUUUUAAGUCUGAUGUGAAAGCCCACGGCUCAACCGUGGAGGGUCAUUGGAAACUGGAAAACUUGAGUGCAGAAGAGGAAAGUGGAAUUCCAUGUGUAGCGGUGAAAUGCGCAGAGAUAUGGAGGAACACCAGUGGCGAAGGCGACUUUCUGGUCUGUAACUGACGCUGAUGUGCGAAAGCGUGGGGAUCAAACAGGAUUAGAUACCCUGGUAGUCCACGCCGUAAACGAUGAGUGCUAAGUGUUAGGGGGUUUCCGCCCCUUAGUGCUGCAGCUAACGCAUUAAGCACUCCGCCUGGGGAGUACGACCGCAAGGUUGAAACUCAAAGGAAUUGACGGGGACCCGCACAAGCGGUGGAGCAUGUGGUUUAAUUCGAAGCAACGCGAAGAACCUUACCAAAUCUUGACAUCCUUUGACAACUCUAGAGAUAGAGCCUUCCCCUUCGGGGGACAAAGUGACAGGUGGUGCAUGGUUGUCGUCAGCUCGUGUCGUGAGAUGUUGGGUUAAGUCCCGCAACGAGCGCAACCCUUAAGCUUAGUUGCCAUCAUUAAGUUGGGCACUCUAAGUUGACUGCCGGUGACAAACCGGAGGAAGGUGGGGAUGACGUCAAAUCAUCAUGCCCCUUAUGAUUUGGGCUACACACGUGCUACAAUGGACAAUACAAAGGGCAGCGAAACCGCGAGGUCAAGCAAAUCCCAUAAAGUUGUUCUCAGUUCGGAUUGUAGUCUGCAACUCGACUACAUGAAGCUGGAAUCGCUAGUAAUCGUAGAUCAGCAUGCUACGGUGAAUACGUUCCCGGGUCU
rnacentral:rRNA from 1 species